AUUGAACGCUGGCGGCAGGCCUAACACAUGCAAGUCGAGCGGAGCGGCGGACGGGUGAGUAAUGCCUAGGACUCUGCCUGGUAGUGGGGGAUAACGUCCGGAAACGGGCGCUAAUACCGCAUACUAUCAGAUGAGCCUCGGUCGGAUUAGAUAGAUGGUGGGGUAAAGGCCUACCAAGGGGACGAGCCGUCACUGGUUUGAGAGGAUGAUCAGUCAAACUGGAACUGAGACACGGUCCAGACUCCUACGGAAGGCAGCAGUGGGGAAUAUUGCACAAUGGGCGCAAGCCUGAUGCAGCCAUGCCGCGGGUGUGAAGAAGGCCUUCGGGUUGUAAAGCACUUUCAGCGGGGAGGCGUUACCCGCAGAAGAAGCACCGGCUAACUCCGUGCCAGCAGCCGCGGUAAUUC
rnacentral:rRNA from 1 species